GAUGAACGCUGACAGAAUGCUUAACGCAUGCAAGUCUUUGGCGAAGCUGUGCUUGCACAGCCUAGCCAAGGCGGACGGGUGAGUAACGCGUAAGGAACUUGCCCUGCAGUCAGGGAUAACAGACGGAAACGACUGAUAAGACCUGGUAAAGUCAGGCGGACUCAUGUCCAGCCUGAUGAAAAGAGAUGCUGCAGGAGAGCCUUGCGUCCUAUUAGCUUGAUGGUGGGGUAACGGCCCACCAAGGCGAUGAUAGGUAGCCGGCCUGAGAGGGUGGACGGCCACAAGGGGACUGAGAUACGGCCCUUACUCCUACGGGAGGCAGCAGUGGGGAAUAUUGGACAAUGGGGGCAACCCUGAUCCAGCAAUUCUGUGUGCACGAUGAAGGUUUUCGGAUUGUAAAGUGCUUUCAGCAGGGAAGAAAAAAAUGACGGUACCUGCAGAAGAAGCGACGGCUAAAUACGUG
rnacentral:rRNA from 1 species